rnacentral:misc_RNA from 1 species
CCGAUUCUUUGGUUCAAUUCUGAUACGGUUCCUAUUUGAUUCUUGAUGAAACACCAGAACUGAACCAACAGUAAAUAUAAGUUCAAUUCGGUUCUUACAGUGAUGGUUCUUUUUCGGUUUCAGUACUAUUUUUCAGUUCGGUUUGGAACGUCCAAGAAUGGUGCACAGCCCUAACUAGGGCCAUCAAGCAGACACUUUUGCAUUCAAGUAUUCAACACAAGAGGAUCUCAAAAAGAUGAUAAAAAUGAUAAACCUUACCUUUGUAGAGAACCAAAUCCAAACAAGGAAAAGUGAAAUCAUAUAAAGAACCUUUGACAUGUAGAACUAGAAAGCUAUAGAACAAUAUACUAAACUUAACGAAGCCUCAAUAGCAAUCUAGUUGGGGUCGGCUCCAUGCAUCCUUUUCCGUCAUUUUACUCAGUUUAUGGCCACAUUUUGAUAGAAAGCUCUAGACAAAUAUAAUGCAUGAAUAUUACAUUGCAGAGCAGAGUUAGACCAGAUUUUCAAUAAUCAACUAUGAGAAUAAAGCAAGGAAGUUUACCUUUCCUUGUCUUGGGUGGUCUAAUACCACCACUUACAAUUGAAGUAGGAGAAAGAGGCCUCUUGGCUGGCACAGGUUUCAUUGACGGUUCCGACUUCUUGGAAGAAAUGAGAGAUGAGUAAAGAAUAGCAUCAACAGCCUCUCGCUGUUGUUUCCUUUUUGUGAUUAAAUCUUCAGAAGCACCUAUUUGAUUAGGAGCCCUACCAACACUACCCUCCCUCUCUUUAAUACCACUUCCAGCUGAGGAAGUUGAAAUUUCCAAAUUCCUAUUAUGCUUAAAAGAUUUCUUUGGUCCUUUUGACAUAUUCACUUUCAAGUUAUCACGACUAUCACUCAUUUCUUGUUCAGAGUUGGAUAAAUUACUCUUUGAAUUCAUUUUAUCUUUCCUCUCACCCUUAUGAGGAAUUUUCUCACUUUUGUCAUUGCACUUACUUUCACUAUCCCCAAUAUAUUCCCUUGAAGUUGCAGACUUCACAUUCUUUGACAUUCUGUUCUCAACAGUAGCAUCCACAGAUGGAAGAUUAUGAUCUCUAGCUUUUCUUUUGCUACAAUGGACAUAUUCCUUCUUGCCUAAAGUAUUAUCAUUGUCUUCUGCAACUGCCCUAUUGCAUUGAGCCACAAAACUGAUUUUUUUGGAAUUCCUGUGAAACAAUGCCUGCAUCCUGUGCUCACUUUGUUUGCUAGGCUUGCUAGGAUCUCUAGCAUUUUCAACGUGCUUCACCUGUCUUGAAUAAUUCUCAGAUUUUUCAGUAGUACUGUUAUGCCUGAAAGCUGUUUUAAAGAACUCAUAUGGCCUUUUAACUGAGAUAAUCAAGUUUCUCUCUUUAGCAUCUUUUACCAGGGCAGCCCAGUUAUGGUUUGUUUGCAGAGUCCUUGCAUUACCGAAAAUCCAAAGGGAGAACUUGGCUCUUGUCAAAGCAACAUUCAUCCGCCUAACAUCAGCAAUAAACCCAAUACUGCUGGAGUUGACUCCAUUUGUAUAAGAACAUGAAUCUGCUGCUCUAACAGUGGAAAAUAUCAAUAUAUCAACUUCCCGCCCUUGAAAACCAUCAACAGUAUUAAACUCCAUAUCAGCUAUAAUGGAAGACCCAAAUGCACUAGAAAAAUGAGAACGCAAAAGUGAUAGUUGGCUCUUGUAUGGAGUUAUGAUGCCAAUUUUUCCACCAUCAAAGUGAGAGGGGUACCUCUUCUUGAAAUUUCUGACUAAUGCGACAGCAGCUUCAGCUUCAUGCUCAUUAUAGAGGGAAAAUCCACCGGAAUUCUUACCACGAUGUUGCUGGCCGUCAAUAAUGUCAUAGAAUACAUAAGGGCCAAGACCCUCACUCUCAUGAAAUGGUGCUGAUUUGCUUGACAUUUCUUCUCCAUUUAGUAGUUUACCAUCAUAAAAAUGCAAGGAGGGAAACCGGCAAAUCUCUGGGUGCAUCCUAUACUGUUUGGUAAGCAUGGUAACUGGAUGACCAGCCCUUUGUAAACGCUCAAACAUGCUACAUUCAUAAAGAAAUUUGCUUGCAACAUUAGAGAGGACUGUUGCAGGAAGCUGCUUUGGGUCACCAACCAUGAUACAUUUUGUCCCAUAUGACUUUAAAAGCUGUAGAGGAAUCAAAGUAGCAGGUUCCAAAGCUUGAGCUGCUUCAUCAAUCACAACAGCAUCAAAAAGGGUAUGCUCAGAUGGAUUCCCAAAUUUAUAACUUGAUAUAGAUUCAGAGCAGACUCCAUAGAGAUCACCACCGCACCCACUUAAUGUAGUCACCACAAUUUCAGCUUCCUUCAGUAUAGACUUCCGCAGCUUAUGUUUCAGAGCCUUAAUUUCUUCAUAAGUUUUCUUCUCCUGUGCCUGAGCAGCGCUAAGAUCUCUAAAAAUUUGUUUCUUCCGCUCAUAUAACUUUCGUAGCUUCACCUCCAAUUCAGCAUCUGACAUUUCUUUUAAGUCGUCCCCUUUCAAUGUUCCAUCAUCUAAAGAAUUUUUGAGAUCUGAAUUCCCAUCCUGUAAGUUAGCUCGCUUAGCCUCAUAAAACCUAAUAUGGUCGACUAACUUUUCUAGAUUAGAACGCAAUGCCGUAGAAGAGCCUACGCUUGAACCAUUUUUAGCAUCAUUCAAAUUCAUCCUCUCUUCAGCAAGGUGAUUAUCAACAAGAGUAUCAAUAAAGAAGGGCAGUGAAUUUGCAUGAAUUGUUUUAGCAUUACCAACCCGUACAAUAUAUGGCUUGUACGUUUUACCAUCACUGCCAUAAAGGCCGCCACCAGAAAUUCUUGACACCAACUCAUCAACAGCAGCAUUUGAUUGAGCACAAAUGAGUACCCUUCUCCUUACAGAACCUUCCACUGACUUUUCGUUUCUCUCUGCAUUCUCAUUUAACUGUCUAGCCAAGGCAGCAUCUUGCCAUGCUCUUGCAAUUGCAACAGACUGGCUAACUUUGGGCCUUGUAUUCAAGCAUGAACUAUUAAUUUGUUUUGAAUUUCCAUUCAAACGAUUCUUUGCAUCAUUUGUUCCUCGUAGUGAAGCAAGCAAGCCACUGACAAUGGCCACUAUAGUUCGGGUCUUCCCAGUACCUGGAGGACCCUGAAUGAGAGAUAAUUCAAUGUCUUUCUUUGAAUUAGGCAAUCCAAUUGCAACAUUGAUAGCUUGCAAUUGGUUCUCAUUAAAGGAUGACUUCAGUGCUUGCUGCAAGGGCUGGGAUAGCUUACCCAGAGAUAGCUCUCUCAAUUCAUUAUGAUCCAGAGAAUCAUUGACUGGUUUUAGAAUAACUGAAAGCAUGGGAAUAUCCUUAAUUGAUGAUAGCACCUGAAAUUCUCGAAGUUGAGGUGUAAUGCUCAUGAUGCGACUUGCAUGCCAUUUGCUACGUUCAAGAAGUUGCCUCCUAGCUUGAUUUAAACGUGAAGAUCCAUUUAGAAAAUAGAACCUGAUUAGAAGCAUACUUGCCCUUCUUUUAUUGUCUCUCUCACGUCUCUCCACCUUGCCAACCAUAUGAACAUCAUGGUAAGUAUUUUGCGGAGCCUCUUUUGUCAGCAAAAUGAGGUCAUUUUCUGCAAAGCUUUUGGGUGAUGUAAAAUCAUUGUCAUCAUGGACAAAGCGAACAAGAUGAAAGUCAUCAACCCUCUCAACAGACAACACAGAUAGAAUGCCAUAAUACAUCUCCUCCCAUGAAGACAUAUCUAGGAAGGAACUAUUCAACUGUGCUUUAAACUCCUCCAAAACUAAUGGCCGAAAAAUGUCAACAUAUUGUUCUGGUGAUUGAAAACAUACUGGAACCUCCUUUAAUUUACUAUUGCUAACCAUCAGAGUCUCAUCUUCACUUGCAGAUGUCAAACCCACUAUUUCAAAGUAAUUUAUUUCCAAAAUGAGCUUAUACCAAGCAUCAAGCCUUGGAGGCUUGAACCUUUUCACUCCAGCCUCCAGUCUGUGUAAACUUCCAAAUCUGUUAUCAGCAGGUGUUUUAAGUUGGAUGACUUGCCUUUUUGGACAAGAAGCACUAAUCUUUGCCAGAAACAAGGGUUGCUGUCUCACUGAUUUGAAUGAAGACUCAGAUAUAUCAGCAUUAGCAUCAUGCACAAGCUCUUUCAAUAUUGAAUCUCUUGUUUCAGAAACCAUACUGUGGCAAAUUUGAUUCAUACUUUUAGCAUUCAUAGGCUCAUCACAGGAGUUCUUCAAAUUAAUUUUAUUUUGAGAUGAGAAGGCAUCAUAUAUGUCGACUUUGGACUUGACUUCUUUGCUCUUAUCAUCUGCACCUUUUGAUUUGAGAGAAGAAAGUGAUUUGUCUCUUAAUUUAUCAAAUUCCUGCUUCUGAGAAGUGAGGCCAGAUCUAUCUGAAGCAUCCUUUUGUUCAAAGGCAUCCACUAGAUCCCUUGAAGUCCUAAUGCUAGAAACCUUCUCCUUUGCAGCGUCAGUUACUAAAGCACUUCUAUCAACUGGAGAAGCCACUCUCCAGCUAUCUAAUUGAACAUGACCUGAAUUUUCAUUAUCAGGUAGAAUGACCUCAGCAGGUGAAAUUUGUCUUUCAGCUUCAUCAUCCGAAAGAACAAUCACUUUGCUUUUUUCCCCUCUAUUAGCUACUGACAUAGAAUCCAGGGAUUGCACGCUACUAUCCUUCACAGGGGCAGCCUGCAUGUAAGAAGCAGAAUACCUUCUUACAAAAGACAAAUCUGCAGAAACUGAAGCUUGUGGUCUUAAUUUGGCCAUCACCAUAUCACCAGAAACUUCCUUAGAUAAUGAAACACGAAGGCGUGAAACUUCUUCCAUCAAUUGAUCAACAUUAACACUCUCACAUAAAAUAAGAUUCUCAAUGACCUUAAAAGUCGAUGCAGAUGCAGUACUGCAAGAACCUUUGAGCAGAUUCAGCAAAGAAGUUACCGUUCGUUUCCAGUAGACAAUUACAACUUUAAGUGAUGAUUUCCCCCAGUCAAUCAGAUCAUGUAGCCACAUGAAGUCCAAUAAAUUUCCCACAAUUUUUCCAGAAUCCCUAGUAUGCUCAAUGAGAGAUGGGUAAAGUCUCUCAAAAACAACAGGGAGGAUUUCAAGUACACGAACACAAGUCAUCUGAAACAAGAAGAAUAUGAUGACAAUGCCUACUAAACCAAAAUUAAGUUAAAAUUCCAUCAGUGUGAAAUCAUAAAUUCUCUCUAAGAAAGCAAUGUGCAUACUGUAACAGAUGCAGAAACCCAGAGGAUAGAGAGUUAAAAAGAGUAAUUUAUUAGUGAUAGUUGCUAAAAUACCUGGCAAAGACUGUAAUCUACAAAUCCUUUCCCUUCUAUCAAACACUUUCGAAUUGAUGGCCAUGCAUUUUCUAACAGCAAGUAACGGAAACUCUCCUGUGAUUUUAAGUCAUCACUUGUUGAAUGCCCUCCAACAUUUGCAGGCAAAGAAUCAAAGAUUGGCUGUGUCAAAAAUCCACCUUCGGAAGAGUACUUCUUUGCUACUGAAUUAUCAGAUGAAUUUUCAGAAACUAAAUCCCCUUCUGUUAUUAGUUUCCGGAGUAUAAAGAAAAAAUGCUGCAAAGUGUGAAAUUUUGAUACAACAGAAUCCAAUUGAACCACUUUCAAAGCAUGUCUCAACCCUAAAAAUAUGGCUGACAAAGAAGAACCACUGGAGCAAAGGAACUUCAAUCCACAUGCAAGACCCCGUGUACUGGAAACAUGCUCCAACAGACACUUGCCAACUUGCCUCACACUAUCAUUAGGAUCCAGAAGUGAAAGGAUCAAGCUCUCUGCCAUCCAUGGUUCCCAUGUCCACUGCUUCCGAAGUUCCCCUUGCCCCACUUGAACUACAAAAUGAGCAGUCAACCUGUUGAAUGCUCUUAUCAAAGGAAGAUGCAGCAUUGACACUCUUAUCGAGUUUUUUGACUCCUUCCCACCCCCACCAUCGUCAGAACCAGUUGGGACCUUCCAACCAAAUGAAGUGGAGAGUUCUGUGACUGAAGAAGAAAGCCAAGUUUUAACAGCAAGUGCCAUUUCUGCACUGUUUUCAGGUUCUAUCAUGGUUAAAUGAGAUCGGGCCCAGAAAACAGCCUUUGAAAAUGAUACUGGAAGGAUAGAUGGAUCAAUAUCAACCAGAACAUCUAUCCAUAACAUGGGAACGCACAUCCAGUCUUUGUAGUCUUGAGAAGUAAUCUUACUCUGAGCACUGAAUUCACUCCAACAACCACUAUCAUUUUCUUCAACAUCAGAGGAAAAUAGAAGUCUGUCAUCAUCAUUAAACUCAAUUGAAAUGUUUCUAUCAACAUCUAACGGGGCACGGUUGUCCAACAAUGCAGCUACUAAGGCAGCAGCAUCAGACACUAUAAUAGUUUGUAUAAGAUCAAAAGCUGGUUGCCGAAGAGAACUAUGAAGUGAAGAAUCCUUCAAAGAUGACACAAGUGAAGGACCCCACAUAUGCACACAUUCAACUGGGGGGCAUGGUGGGUUCAUCUUGUAGCCUCGGUUUAUGAUAAGAAGGGCUAUCUUGCAUGCCAAUUUUCUUGUCAGAACAUUGAAGUUGCUGCUCACAGGAACUUGAUGUAGAAGAAAAUAGAGAAAAUGCCUGCGCUGCCUUUCAUGUUCCCCAUCUUGCAAAGCCUCAAGUGACUGAAGAAAAGGAGGAAGAAGAUCAAAAAUAUCUUUAUGGAUCUUCUCAUUUCGAGUAUGGAAACACUGGCCCAAUAAUGUGUUCCGCAUCACACUUGGAGACAAUGUAGACCUUAGCCAAAGCUUGCAACCAAGCAUUUUGAAAAGUUCUUUCAAACAGCUUACUGCAUGAGAAAAUUCAGCUGAAUCACCACUUAUAUGGUUGAGCACAAUAUCAAAAAAAAUGGGAUAGCGCUCAAGUAUGCCUUCUUCAAAAGCAGGAGGUUCUAAGAACUCUAGCAGUGAUGUUAUUCCAAGCCAUAUAGAUAAGCGAUCCAGCUGCGCUCUUGGCCUUGGAGUCUUGGUGGCUGAUGGUAGUGCUUCUGUUUCCAGAAAACCAAUAAAUUUGUUCAGCAAAGGCUGGAAAGGUUCCAUAUCUGUUGCUCUCCUCAAUUUUUCCAUAGAACGAGCUAAGUGCCGACCAAUGGUACGUACUCUUCUAUUGCAGAAAAGCAACACAAAUACACCCGGAAAUUGUUGAUGUCCAGCCAAAGUCAGCUCAUGCAUAUUAUCAACUGCUUCAAUAAACAAUUCAAAUUCAAUGACCAAGGACUGAUCAUCAAGCAGGACAGGAAACAUCAUGACCUCAUACAUAAGACUAACGAUUUCAGCAUUAUCCCGCUGAUGAUCGUACUCUUCCUUCUUUAGUCUAGAAUUUAUCUCACGCAAAUGUUGAGUUACCCUUUCCUCAUCCAGACUUCGCAGCACGUCAAGAAGGGGACCAAUUGAACUCGACUCAUACUCCAUACUGUACAUCUCUUUGGCCUGGUGGUGCUGACAUAUGCAUUGGAUGCAUUGCCGUAAUUCCUGAGAAAUCCUCUUCCACAUAAGCCGUAGAGGAGAAUCAGGACGCUCAUCUUUGAAAUAAUUAUAGAAUGUCUCCAAAAGUGGCCCCAUUAAAUCCCAAGAGCCACACCAUAUAUGGUUUUCUUUAGGCAAACUAAUCAAAAAAUUAAACGUAUCUGCAAACCAUUCUUCUUUAAGCUGGUGCAGGCGGCGGCGUUUCAAUGGAUCGUCGUCGUCGUUUAGUUCUUCUUCUUCUUCCUCAAUGCCUCUCCAUCUAUCUAACAGCUCUCUCCUGGACCCAAUCUUAGCCAUUUCUUUAAAAAUGAUGAAAAAAAAAAAG